AACGAACGCUGGCGGCAGGCCUAACACAUGCAAGUCGAGCGCGCCCUUCGGGGUGAGCGGCGGACGGGUGAGUAACGCGUGGGAAUAUGCCCUUCACUGCGGAAUAGCCUUUGGAAACGAAGAGUAAUACCGCAUACGCCCUUCGGGGGAAAGAUUUAUCGGUGAAGGAUUAGCCCGCGUUGGAUUAGGUAGUUGGUGGGGUAAAAGCCUACCAAGCCGACGAUCCAUAGCUGGUUUGAGAGGAUGAUCAGCCACACUGGGACUGAGACACGGCCCAGACUCCUACGGGAGGCAGCAGUGGGGAAUCUUAGACAAUGGGGGAAACCCUGAUCUAGCCAUGCCGCGUGAGUGACGAAGGCCCUAGGGUCGUAAAGCUCUUUCAGCUGUGAAGAUAAUGACGGUAGCAGCAGAAGAAACCCCGGCUAACUCCGUG
rnacentral:rRNA from 1 species